AGUCGAGCGGACAGAUGGGAGCUUGCUCCCUGAUGUUAGCGGCGGACGGGUGAGUAACACGUGGGUAACCUGCCUGUAAGACUGGGAUAACUCCGGGAAACCGGGGCUAAUACCGGAUGCUUGUUUGAACCGCAUGGUUCAAACAUAAAAGGUGGCUUCGGCUACCACUUACAGAUGGACCCGCGGCGCAUUAGCUAGUUGGUGAGGUAAUGGCUCACCAAGGCAACGAUGCGUAGCCGACCUGAGAGGGUGAUCGGCCACACUGGGACUGAGACACGGCCCAGACUCCUACGGGAGGCAGCAGUAGGGAAUCUUCCGCAAUGGACGAAAGUCUGACGGAGCAACGCCGCGUGAGUGAUGAAGGUUUUCGGAUCGUAAAGCUCUGUUGUUAGGGAAGAACAAGUACCGUUCGAAUAGGGCGGUACCUUGACGGUACCUAACCAGAAAGCCACGGCUAACUACGUGCCAGCAGCCGCGGUAAUACGUAGGUGGCAAGCGUUGUCCGGAAUUAUUGGGCGUAAAGGGCUCGCAGGCGGUUCCUUAAGUCUGAUGUGAAAGCCCCCGGCUCAACCGGGGAGGGUCAUUGGAAACUGGGGAACUUGAGUGCAGAAGAGGAGAGUGGAAUUCCACGUGUAGCGGUGAAAUGCGUAGAGAUGUGGAGGAACACCAGUGGCGAAGGCGACUCUCUGGUCUGUA
rnacentral:rRNA from 1 species